GACGAAUGCUGGCUGCGUGCUUAACACAUGCAAGUCGAACGGUGCCCUUGAGCUUGCUCCCUGGAUCAUUGGCGAACGGGUGAGUAACACGUGGGCAACCUGCCCCUCGCUCUGGGAUUUCUCCGGGAAACCGGGGCUAAUACCGGAUACGACCUCACGCGACAUCUCGUGAGGUGGAAAGAACUUCGGUGAGGGAUGGGCCCGCGGCCUAUCAGCUUGUUGGUGGGGUAACGGCCCACGAAGGCGACGACGGGUAGCCGGCCUGAGAGGGAGACCGGGCACACUGGGACUGAGACACGGCCCAGACUGCUACGGGAGGCAGCAGUGGGGAAGAUUGCGCAAUGGGCGAAAGUCUCACGCAGCGACGCAGCGUGAGGGACGACGGCCUUCGGGUUGUAAACCUCUUUCAGCGGGGACGAAGCGCAAGUGACGGUACCCGCAGAAGAAGCACCGGCUAACUACGUGCCAGCCGCCGCAGUAAGAC
rnacentral:rRNA from 1 species